UCGAGAAUCUUCGGCAAUGGGCGAAAGCCUGACCGAGCGACGCCGCGUGCGGGAUGAAGGCCUUCGGGUUGUAAACCGCUGUCAGUGGGGAGGAAAUGCUGGAGGGUACUCCCUUCAGUUUGACCUAUCCGCAGAGGAAGUACGGGCUAAGUUCGUGCCAGCAGCCGCGGUAACACGAACCGUACGAACGUUAUUCGGAAUCACUGGGCUUAAAGGGUGCGUAGGCGGCCCGGUAAGUUGGGUGUGAAAUCCCUCGGCUCAACCGAGGAAUUGCGCUCAAAACUGCCGGGCUAGAGGAAGUCAGAGGUGAGUGGAACUUAGGGUGGAGCGGUGAAAUGCGUUGAUAUCCUAAGGAACACCAGUGGUGAAAGCGACUCACUGGGGCUUUUCUGACGCUGAGGCACGAAAGCCAGGGGAGCGAACGGGAUUAGAUACCCCGGUAGUCCUGGCCGUAAACGAUGAGCACUGGAUCGGAGACCACUCCAUAGGUUUCUGGUCGUAGCGAAAGUGUUAAGU
rnacentral:rRNA from 1 species